rnacentral:tRNA from 1 species
GGUCGGUUAGCUCAGUUGGUUAGAGCGUGGUACUAAUAAUGCCAAGGCUGGGAGUUCAAGCCUCCCACUGAUCA